GGCGUGUCGCGAAGACAGAAAAACUAUAUCGUGUUUACGUUUAUAUAUAUGUGUGUGUAUGUGUGUGAUUAAGCGGCACUAACUGCAAAAAGAAAUGCGAUAAAACAACAUUAUUCGGUUCAUAACGUCUUUAAUAGAAUAAAAUGGCAGUCGGUGUUUUCGGAUACUCUGAAAAGUAAUUGUGUUCCCUUUUAGAAACGAGCUGAAUCUAACCGAUAAGGAAUAAGAGGAAGCGGAAAAAAAAGAUGGUAACUGAGUUACUCCAGCAAAGUAAUGAGAUCAUAGUUGCUGGAGAUAUUGGAGUUUGCAAGGAAAUUUCGAUCACUUUUGCCCUAAACACGUUCCGGAUGACCAUAUUGGCAUUUUCCUAAUUUGUUCAGAGGGUAAACAAGCGCGAGAAACGCUGCACAGAGUAGCAGAAAAACUUCGACCAUAACAAACAAAUAUUGCACAAGUUGGGUAAAUGGUGCAGAUGCGAACUACCACACGGUACGAGUGCAGUUUGCAUGUCUGGAAUUAGUGACAUAUGUUAUUUAAAUAAAUCAGCAAUUACGCAACGGUUCUUUCUUGUCAGUUUUCGAUAUUCCUGUUUGCAUUUUAAGUCUAGUAUUUCAAGAGACAGAUGAUUUAUGUUAAUAAGUCUCAUGAGACUAGACUAUCGCGUUACUCCGUUUUUUUUUCCUCUUUUCUCAGUACAAGUACGAGCAAUCCAGUUAUUCGCUGAUACAUGUUUGCAAAACUUUAAAAGACGUGUAGGCUACCAAGAGAAAGUGAUUUAUUUUGCAAUAUUUCCUAUACAUAAAAAAAGGAGAAUAUUGUUAGAAAACAGAAAAAAAAAUUCCACCUUACUGUUUACUCCAUUCAUAUUAUUAAUAUAAAUAGAGAAAAGAUCACGCAUUUUACAUACCAAAGUAAAGAUGUGCAAACUUUGAUAAAAAAAAAAAAGUUUUAAAAAACAGUAUUUAAAAAAUUUAAAAAAAAAAAUAAAAAA
rnacentral:lncRNA from 1 species